UGUAAAAAAUUGCUCCGAGCCAUUCGACCUAAGGAUUUACGUCUAGGGUCCUUGGCCAAUGGGUUUCGCUGGAAACGGCGGAGCCUCCCUUUCGGAAAGGAGACAAAGCGAUCUGUCAC
rnacentral:ncRNA from 2 species